UGGGGAAUAUUGGACAAUGGGCGAAAGCCUGAUCCAGCCAUGCCGCGUGUGUGAAGAAGGUCUUCGGAUUGUAAAGCACUUUAAGUUGGGAGGAAGGGCAGUAAGCGAAUACCUUGCUGUUUUGACGUUACCGACAGAAUAAGCACCGGCUAACUCUGUGCCAGCAGCCGCAGUAAUACAGAGGGUGCAAGCGUUAAUCGGAAUUACUGGGCGUAAAGCGCGCGUAGGUGGUUCGUUAAGUUGAAUGUGAAAGCCCCGGGCUCAACCUGGGAACUGCAUCCAAGUCUGGCGGGCUAGAGUAGGGCAGAGGGUGGUGGAAUUUCCUGUGUAGCGGUGAAAUGCGUAGAUAUAGGAAGGAACACCAGUGGCGAAGGCGACCACCUGGGCUCAUACUGACACUGAGGUGCGAAAGCGUGGGGAGCAAACAGG
rnacentral:rRNA from 1 species